rnacentral:SRP_RNA from 1 species
UCGCGCUAGGUGGGGAGUCAGCGGUUCCCUGAACCCGAAAUCCGCUCCAGCGGGGCCGAAUGCCGUCCGAGGGCGGUGGUGUCGGGCAGGUCUGCGCACGUGGUGUUGACAGGUCGGGUCCCGCGCACGGGGAGCGUUCGAACCGCGUCAGGUCCGGAAGGAAGCAGCGCUAAGGACUCCCUCUCCGGUGUGUCGGUUCCGCCCGAUCCGAGCCGGCGACGCGGGAGCCGCCGGUAUCGCUUGUUCGACGACGGAGCGCGC